rnacentral:tRNA from 1 species
GCAGGAGUGGCGGAAUGGCAGACGCGCCAGAUUCAGGUUCUGGUGAAUGCAAAUUCAUGUGGGUUCAAGUCCCAUCUCCUGCACCA